rnacentral:rRNA from 1 species
UACGUAGGGUGCGAGCGUUAAUCGGAAUUACUGGGCGUAAAGCGUGCGCAGGCGGCGCGUUAAGACAGGUGUGAAAGCCCCGAGCUUAACUUGGGAAUUGCGCUUGUGACUGGCGUGCUGGAGUGUGGCAGAGGGAGAUGGAAUUCCCCGUGUAGCAGUGAAAUGCGUAGAGAUGUGGAGGAACACCGAUGGCGAAGGCAGCCGCCUGGGCCAGCACUGACGCUCAUGCACGAAAGCGUGGGGAGCAAACAGG